rnacentral:rRNA from 1 species
CCUACGGGAGGCAGUAGUGGGGAAUAUUGGACAAUGGGCGAAAGCCUAAUCCAGCCAUGCCGCGUGUGUGAAGAAGGCCUUCGGGUUGUAAAGCACUUUCAGUGGGGAAGAAAGCCUUGGGGCUAAUACCCUCGAGGAAGGACAUCACCCACAGAAGAAGCACCGGCUAACUCCGUGCCAGCAGCCGCGGUAAUACGGAGGGUGCGAGCGUUAAUCGGAAUUACUGGGCGUAAAGCGCGCGUAGGCGGUCUGAUAAGCCGGUUGUGAAAGCCCCGGGCUCAACCUGGGAACGGCAUCCGGAACUGUCAGGCUAGAGUGCAGGAGAGGAAGGUAGAAUUCCCGGUGUAGCGGUGAAAUGCGUAGAGAUCGGGAGGAAUACCAGUGGCGAAGGCGGCCUUCUGGACUGACACUGACGCUGAGGUGCGAAAGCGUGGGUAGCAAACAGGAUUAGAUACCCUAGUAGUC